UUAUGGGUCAUUCCAUGGGGUUGGGGCAAAAAUUGUGACAUCAGGGUCAAAAAAUAGAAAUGUAAUAAAUGAAAUGUUUUAUUUCUUAUAUGUUUCAUGGGACAAUCCUUCAGCUAAAUCCACUUACAGGCAUUUCAUACCACCCUGCAUAUUGGAGUAAACUGAGAAAUAAGAUUUGACAAAAUACCACCGUUACAUGGACAUCAUUUAUCAUCCUUACUAAGACUAUGCUCUCCCACUGUCAAAAUAAAGGGGUUGAUCUCCAUUACUCUUGAUAAAUAUUUUGCUAACAACAUUGUUAGUCACUUUAUUCCACACUUUUCAACAUGGCAUAUAUAUUUUGAAAGAUUUAGCAUCAAUAAAUGGAACUUGAUGCUCUGUGUGUAUACCAGUGCCAUGUUCUGUGUCGUUCUUUUUUCUCACCAGUCUAGAAAAUUGAAUUUAUGAUGGCAUGUAGAACUAAAUAGUUGAGAGAAGUCAUGCCUCAACAGAAUGGAAUAUUCUCUUUGGAAAAACUAAACUACUCUUUCUGGCAUAACCUUCUAUUUUUAGUGUUACCACCGUUACAUGGACAUCAUGUCUCAGUAACAGAGGUAUACUUAGAAGCAAUGUUAAGUUAAUGUCCAUUAAUGGCCAUUACACACCAAAUUCCACUUCAUGCCUUAGAAUAUUUGCACAAGAUCAAUUGAUUACACUAAAGAAAAACAUUUUGCAUGUCAAAUUCUUUGCAAAUAAAAGCAAAUUAAAUUAGAGUUUAAACAAGGAAAAAUGUACAAAAUUAUUGACAAAUUAUAUUUAAAAUCAUACUACGAUAAUCCUCAAGUUUCCACUUCCGUCUACCUCUGGAAACAUUUACGUUUCUGCCUAAAGGGAAAAAACAAAACAGUGCUAUCUUAUGAUCUCCAAUUCUUUUUACUUUAAAAUAACUGCUUCAAGAUAUUACUUUCAAAUGUACAUACCACCGUUACAUGGACAUCAUGUCUCAGUAACAGAGGUAUACUUUGAAACAUUGCUAAGUUAAGGUCCAUUAAUGGCCAUUAAACACCAAAUUCCACUUCACGCCUUAGAAUAUUUGCACAAGAUCAAUUGAUUAUACUAAAAAACAUUUUUCAUGUCAAAUUCUUUGCAAAUAAAAGCAAUUUAAAUUAGAGUUUAAACAAGGAAAAAUGUACAAAAUUAUUGAUAAAUUAAUAUUUAAAAUAAUACUAAGGUAAUCCUCAAGGUUCCACUUCCGUCUAUCUCUGGAAACGAAUGUUUCUGUCUAAAGGGGGAAAAAAAAGAGUGCUAGCUUAUGAUCUCCAAAUCUUUAUUACUUUAAAAUAUCUCCUUCACGAUAUUACUUUCAAAUGUACAUACCUCCGUUACAUGGACAUCAUGUCCUUGUAAUGACCAUAUUGAAUAGUAUUACAUGUACUUGCCAUUCUUUUAGUAUCAACACACUAAUGCGAGUUAACUCAUCUUACUCAAGUGUAGAAAUACAACAUCUACAGGCAAGCUUCUAAAAUGCAUCAAUGAACAGGUUACAAGUUUAUGAACUUCAAGAUGAUCGGUGACCCAAUGACAACUGUGUGGAAGAGGACUCUGUCAAUGUCACAAAAUAGAUAGAGGUAGAAUUGUGCCUCGCCAUCAGGCCAGGAGUACAGGUCACCAGAUUGACACUUCAUGUACUGAAGAUAUAUAUUUUUACCUUCAACAGAG
rnacentral:lncRNA from 1 species